GUUAUAACCGGCGAUUUCCGAAUGGGGAAACCCAGUGUGUUUCGACACACUAUCAUUAACUGAAUCCAUAGGUUAAUGAGGCGAACCGGGGGAACUGAAACAUCUAAGUACCCCGAGGAAAAGAAAUCAACCGAGAUUCCCCCAGUAGCGGCGAGCGAACGGGGAGCAGCCCAGAGCCUGAAUCAGUGUGUGUGUUAGUGGAAGCGUCUGGAAAGGCGCGCGAUACAGGGUGACAGCCCCGUACACAAAAAUGCACAUGCUGUGAGCUCGAUGAGUAGGGCGGGACACGUGGUAUCCUGUCUGAAUAUGGGGGGACCAUCCUCCAAGGCUAAAUACUCCUGACUGACCGAUAGUGAACCAGUACCGUGAGGGAAAGGCGAAAAGAACCCCGGCGAGGGGAGUGAAAAAGAACCUGAAACCGUGUACGUACAAGCAGUGGGAGCACGCUUAGGCGUGUGACUGCGUACCUUUUGUAUAAUGGGUCAGCGACUUAUAUUCUGUAGCAAGGUUAACCGAAUAGGGGAGCCGAAGGGAAACCGAGUCUUAACUGGGCGUUAAGUUGCAGGGUAUAGACCCGAAACCCGGUGAUCUAGCCAUGGGCAGGUUGAAGGUUGGGUAACACUAACUGGAGGACCGAACCGACUAAUGUUGAAAAAUUAGCGGAUGACUUGUGGCUGGGGGUGAAAGGCCAAUCAAACCGGGAGAUAGCUGGUUCUCCCCGAAAGCUAUUUAGGUAGCGCCUCGUGAAUUCAUCUCCGGGGGUAGAGCACUGUUUCGGCAAGGGGGUCAUCCCGACUUACCAACCCGAUGCAAACUGCGAAUACCGGAGAAUGUUAUCACGGGAGACACACGGCGGGUGCUAACGUCCGUCGUGAAGAGGGAAACAACCCAGACCGCCAGCUAAGGUCCCAAAGUCAUGGUUAAGUGGGAAACGAUGUGGGAAGGCCCAGACAGCCAGGAUGUUGGCUUAGAAGCAGCCAUCAUUUAAAGAAAGCGUAAUAGCUCACUGGUCGAGUCGGCCUGCGCGGAAGAUGUAACGGGGCUAAACCAUGCACCGAAGCUGCGGCAGCGACGCUUAUGCGUUGUUGGGUAGGGGAGCGUUCUGUAAGCCUGUGAAGGUGUGCUGUGAGGCAUGCUGGAGGUAUCAGAAGUGCGAAUGCUGACAUAAGUAACGAUAAAGCGGGUGAAAAGCCCGCUCGCCGGAAGACCAAGGGUUCCUGUCCAACGUUAAUCGGGGCAGGGUGAGUCGACCCCUAAGGCGAGGCCGAAAGGCGUAGUCGAUGGGAAACAGGUUAAUAUUCCUGUACUUGGUGUUACUGCGAAGGGGGGACGGAGAAGGCUAUGUUGGCCGGGCGACGGUUGUCCCGGUUUAAGCGUGUAGGCUGGUUUUCCAGGCAAAUCCGGAAAAUCAAGGCUGAGGCGUGAUGACGAGGCACUACGGUGCUGAAGCAACAAAUGCCCUGCUUCCAGGAAAAGCCUCUAAGCAUCAGGUAACAUCAAAUCGUACCCCAAACCGACACAGGUGGUCAGGUAGAGAAUACCAAGGCGCUUGAGAGAACUCGGGUGAAGGAACUAGGCAAAAUGGUGCCGUAACUUCGGGAGAAGGCACGCUGAUAUGUAGGUGAAGCGACUUGCUCGUGGAGCUGAAAUCAGUCGAAGAUACCAGCUGGCUGCAACUGUUUAUUAAAAACACAGCACUGUGCAAACACGAAAGUGGACGUAUACGGUGUGACGCCUGCCCGGUGCCGGAAGGUUAAUUGAUGGGGUCAGCGCAAGCGAAGCUCUUGAUCGAAGCCCCGGUAAACGGCGGCCGUAACUAUAACGGUCCUAAGGUAGCGAAAUUCCUUGUCGGGUAAGUUCCGACCUGCACGAAUGGCGUAAUGAUGGCCAGGCUGUCUCCACCCGAGACUCAGUGAAAUUGAACUCGCUGUGAAGAUGCAGUGUACCCGCGGCAAGACGGAAAGACCCCGUGAACCUUUACUAUAGCUUGACACUGAACAUUGAGCCUUGAUGUGUAGGAUAGGUGGGAGGCUUUGAAGUGUGGACGCCAGUCUGCAUGGAGCCGACCUUGAAAUACCACCCUUUAAUGUUUGAUGUUCUAACGUUGACCCGUAAUCCGGGUUGCGGACAGUGUCUGGUGGGUAGUUUGACUGGGGCGGUCUCCUCCUAAAGAGUAACGGAGGAGCACGAAGGUUGGCUAAUCCUGGUCGGACAUCAGGAGGUUAGUGCAAUGGCAUAAGCCAGCUUGACUGCGAGCGUGACGGCGCGAGCAGGUGCGAAAGCAGGUCAUAGUGAUCCGGUGGUUCUGAAUGGAAGGGCCAUCGCUCAACGGAUAAAAGGUACUCCGGGGAUAACAGGCUGAUACCGCCCAAGAGUUCAUAUCGACGGCGGUGUUUGGCACCUCGAUGUCGGCUCAUCACAUCCUGGGGCUGAAGUAGGUCCCAAGGGUAUGGCUGUUCGCCAUUUAAAGUGGUACGCGAGCUGGGUUUAGAACGUCGUGAGACAGUUCGGUCCCUAUCUGCCGUGGGCGCUGGAGAACUGAGGGGGGCUGCUCCUAGUACGAGAGGACCGGAGUGGACGCAUCACUGGUGUUCGGGUUGUCAUGCCAAUGGCACUGCCCGGUAGCUAAAUGCGGAAGAGAUAAGUGCUGAAAGCAUCUAAGCACGAAACUUGCCCCGAGAUGAGUUCUCCCUGACUCCUUGAGAGUCCUGAAGGAACGUUGAAGACGACGACGUUGAUAGGCCGGGUGUGUAAGCGCAGCGAUGCGUUGAGCUAACCGGUACUAAUGAACCGUGAGGCUUAACCUU
rnacentral:rRNA from 1 species